rnacentral:rRNA from 1 species
AUUGAACGCUGGCGGCAUGCCUUACACAUGCAAGUCGAACGGCAGCACGGGAGCAAUCCUGGUGGCGAGUGGCGAACGGGUGAGUAAUGUAUCGGAACGUGCCCAGUCGUGGGGGAUAACGUAGCGAAAGCUACGCUAAUACCGCAUACGAUCUAUGGAUGAAAGCGGGGGAUCGCAAGACCUCGCGCGAUUGGAGCGGCCGAUAUCAGAUUAGGUAGUUGGUGGGGUAAAGGCUCACCAAGCCGACGAUCUGUAGCUGGUCUGAGAGGACGACCAGCCACACUGGGACUGAGACACGGCCCAGACUCCUACGGGAGGCAGCAGUGGGGAAUUUUGGACAAUGGGCGAAAGCCUGAUCCAGCAAUGCCGCGUGCAGGAUGAAGGCCUUCGGGUUGUAAACUGCUUUUGUACGGAACGAAACGGCGAACUCUAAUACAGUUUGCUAAUGACGGUACCGUAAGAAUAAGCACCGGCUAACUACGUGCCAGCCGCCGCAGUAA